rnacentral:rRNA from 1 species
UCCAGACUCCUACGGGAGGCAGCAGUGAGGAAUAUUGGUCAAUGGUCGGGAGACUGAACCAGCCAAGCCGCGUGAGGGAUGAAGGUACAGAGUAUCGUAAACCUCUUUUGUCAGGGAACAAAGACUGGGACGCGUCCCCGGAUGAGUGUACCUGAAGAAAAAGCAUCGGCUAACUCCGUGCCAGCAGCCGCGGUAAUACGGAGGAUGCGAGCGUUAUCCGGAUUUAUUGGGUUUAAAGGGUGCGUAGGCGGGCUUUUAAGUCAGCGGUAAAAAUUCGGGGCUCAACCCCGUCCGGCCGUUGAAACUGGGGGCCUUGAGUGGGCGAGAAGAAGGCGGAAUGCGUGGUGUAGCGGUGAAAUGCAUAGAUAUCACGCAGAACCCCGAUUGCGAAGGCAGCAUGCCGGCUUCCGACUGACGCUGAAGCACGAAAGCGUGGGGAUCGAACAGGAUUAGAUACCCUCGUAAC